rnacentral:lncRNA from 1 species
CGGAGUACAUUGACUGUACCAGUCCGAGAUUCAGAACAAACACCGAUACAGAAAAAUAAUUUCAGAGAAAUGCGAGAAUAAGAAAAAAAUAGAUGAGAAAAUUAAAAUUAUUUUAAAAAAUAAAGGCCGAAAUAAUAAGUUCGAGACAUCUAUGUUUUCCUUCAUUUUUGGCCGAAAUCGGGAUACUAAGCAAAUGAUGGAGCAAGAAGAUUUGUGUGGCAUGCCAUCGGCCUAUGGUUGAAACUUGAAGAAGAUAGGAUCAGAUGUAGAUGCCUUGAACCUUCAAGAACUUUCAAGGAUAAUGGAAUGCUGUCUUAAUCUACUAUAAAAACUAAAGUAAAAUAAAAAAAUUAAUAUAAAAGAGAUUUUAUUAUAAGUGCUCUUAACUAGUAUAAUGGAUGCUAAUACUUAGCUUUAGACACCAGUUCUUAUUAUUAUAUGCUACAUAGGCCAUUAUUACCAAAGUAAAUAGUGCUUCCUUUCUUCUCACGUCAUGGGUAGUGAAAAGAUGAGAACCACAACUCAUUUUGUAUACUUGUCUUUGCUAUGAUAUGCCACAUAGGCCACUUUGGCCACACUUGGUGGAUAGUAUUGCCCUCCUCUCACAUCAUGGAUAGUAGAGAAAUAGGUACCACUAUUUAUUUUGGAUAUUUAUCCUUUCUAUUAUAUGCUAUAUGGGCCAUUAUUUUCCACUAUUGUAGGUAAUGUGAUCACUUUUCCCACAUAAUGGGUACUGAAAACAUUUGGCUAGCCACCAUUCUAUGACUCUACUCUAUUAAAGCCUCAUCCUAGGCCGAUAACUCUCGCUCUCCAAGUAUACAUCCCAAUUACUUGGCAUGUACACUUAGCAUACUGGCUUGCACUUUUGGCGCAUCGGUCUACGCUCUUAGCGUAUCAACCUGCACUCUUGACGUACCAGUCUGUAGGUCUACACUUUUAGCGCACCAGCAUACAUUCUCAAUAUUUCGACUUGCUUUUUUUUAGUACUUGGUCUAAGGUUGACAUCUUUCUAAUAGUAAAUUGGCUUAGUAACUAUGUAUUUUAUCCUGUUGUUCAAGUACUUCGGCCUAUCGUAGAUGCCUCACUAAAGAGGUUCAACACAUAAAAAGAAUUCUCUCCAACUCUUCACAUAACUCUCCGCCCUUAUUUAUAAUAUUACACUCUCUCUCCUACUGCAAAAUAAAAACAUUAGCAUCUCACUCCAACUUAAAAAUUGACUUAAAUAUAUUAAGCCCAAGACUCAACUUAACUAAAAUAAGCCAACACUAAAAGAUAAACUAUUCCAACUAAAAUUGAAAUAAAAUAUAAAGAUAAACUAAAAAUAAAAUCCUAAUACAAGUGGGACAAGCAAUGAACUUCCAACAUGAAAUGCAUUUUCAUGCAAAUGGCUAGGAUCCCACAGCUCAACGAUGACUUGUCCAAGAGUGAUAUUAGCUAAAACUCCAACCUUAGUAUAUAAAAGAAAGAAAGCAUGCUUAUUGCUCAAAAUAUUGCAGUAUAAAAGUUUAAAUGGAAGAGAAACAUGUUUUAGUUUUAUUUCUAAAAAAAUGCUUUAAUUAAUGUUUUGCUACUCUAAUAUAUGCAUGAUGAAUUGACAAACAAAUCAAAGUAUAGACAAUAAUUUUCAUACAGUCAUAACAAUGUGUCAAGCAAGGACGAAGAAAUUGGCAAAAUGAAAACCCUAGAUUUCCAUUUAAGCGCCCGUCCUAUUUUUUAGGCAAAUAAAUUGCAAGAACCUCCAAUGAAGUAGACCUCUCCUAGGGCGUAGAUAAAUUCGGUAAUUGCAG